CAGUAGGCUCAGUCAAUUUGAUACCUGUGUCAGUAUGGAUAGAAGUGAUGUUAUUUUAGCCUGUCCUGAUCCUCCAUUGUGCAUGAAAGUACUUAGUAUUUGCAUCUCCACAUUCAAUCCAUGUAACUUUGGAUUUUUGUCUCAUUACCUGCUCUUCAACUUUGUUCCAUUUGUCAAGUUCUUCUAGCAAACCUCUUUCUUCAAUAAUCAGCUCCUGUGAAAGACAGUUAGUCUGCAUUUGUAACUGUAAAAUAUCAAGUUUUUCUCUUGUCUGGAUGAUCUGCUGUUUGUAUUUGGCUAAAUGGUC
rnacentral:lncRNA from 1 species